UCCUGAACCAUGCCCGCCGCGUGGGGUUGAAUUAACAUGCUUCCCUCUGCGGGGCCCACAGGCAGCCUAUUGCCGGCACCUCCCUCUGCCUGUGACCGAGGCCGCCUCGGGCCGUUGAAACAGAAGCUGAGGAGAAGUGACUUCUUCAUGGUCACGGCCCAGAAGGAAAGCAGCCAGCCUGGGCUGCGGGGUCCUGCAGAGCUGCUCGGGAGGCCGUCUCCACCAUGGUGGACCCAGGAACUACAGCACAGAGAUGCCGCCCACUGACCCCAGGAAGGGCAGCCUCCUAGGCGAGAAGGCCCGGCUCACCGGCCUUUCCCGAGACCUCCUCCAGCUUCUAUUCUAAAGCCCUCGUGUGACUCGAGAGCCUCGCGCAGCCUCCGUUUCUGAUUCGCACUGGCCCAGGCUGCCAGGAGCCCUUCCUCAUUCUUUCCAGUUGUUUGUUGGCUUGCUUUUGAUCAAAGUCAGGAAACUACUUUAAAAAAAAGAAAAAACAAGGCCAGUGGACUGGAAAACGUGGAGUUCAAGUUUGGGUCAAAAUGAUCAACUCUGAAUUCAACGUAAGCUUAUGGCUCCAAGUGAGUCGUUCCAACCUGAUCACAGCUGUGUGCGUUCACACUCUGACACACAGAGACACACACACAUCCAUGCAUCACAUGUGCACA